GACGAACGCUGGCGGCGUGCUUAACACAUGCAAGUCGAACGAAGAGCGAUGGACGCUUGCUUCUCUCAAUCUUAGUGGCGAACGGGUGAGUAACGCGUAAUCAACCUGCCCUUCAGAGGGGGACAACAGUUGGAAACUACUUCUAAUACCGCAUACGAUCUAAUCUCGUCAUCGCUGAUAGAUGAAAGGUAGCCUCUACAUGUAAGCUAUCACUGAAGUAGGGUAUUUCGUCUGAUUAGGCAGUUGGCGGGGUAACGGCCCACCAAGGCGAUGAUCAGUAGCCGGUCUGAGAGGAGGAAUGGCCACAUUGGGACUGAGACACGGCCCAGACUCCUACGGGAGGCAGCAGGGGGGAAUCUUCCGCAAUGGACGAAAGGCUGAAGGAGCAACGCCGCGGGAGUGAUGACGGCCUUCGGGUUGUAAAGCUCUGUUAAUAGGGACGAAAGGCCUUCUUGCGAAUAGGGAGAAGGAUUGACGGUACCGGAAGAGAAAGCCAAGGCUAAAUAAGUG
rnacentral:rRNA from 1 species